CACGUAGGGCGCAAGCGUUGUCCGGAAUUAUUGGGCGUAAAGAGCUCGUAGGCGGUUUGUUGCGUCGGCUGUGAAAUCCCGAGGCUCAACCUCGGGUCUGCAGUCGAUACGAGCAAACUAGAGUGUUGCAGGGGAGACUGGAAUUCCUGGUGUAGCGGUGAAAUGACGCAGAUAUCAGGAGGAACACCGGUGGCGAAGGCGGGUCUCUGGGCAACAACUGACGCUGAGGAGCGAAAGCGUGGGGAGCGAACAGG
rnacentral:rRNA from 1 species